rnacentral:rRNA from 1 species
AUCAUUCACAAUGGGCGAAAGCCUGAUGGUGCGACGCCGCGUGGGGGACGAAGGUCCUCGGAUUGUAAACCCCUGUCACUAGGGAAGAAACGUUACGGAUUAACAGUCCGUAGCCUGACUUAACCUGGAGAGGAAGCAGUGGCUAACUCUGUGCCAGCAGCCGCGGUAAUACAGAGACUGCAAGCGUUAUUCGGAUUCACUGGGCGUAAAGGGUGCGCAGGCGGUUGUGUGUGUUAGAUGUGAAAUCUCGGAGCUCAACUCCGAAACUGCGUCUAAAACUACAUGACUAGAGCAUUGGAGAGGGUAGCGGAAUUCACGGUGUAGCAGUGAAAUGCGUAGAUAUCGUGAGGAACACCAGAGGCGAAGGCGGCUACCUGGACAAUUGCUGACGCUCAGGCACGAAAGCGUGGGGAGCAAAAGGG